ensembl:snRNA U6 U6 spliceosomal RNA
GUGCUUGUAUUGGCAGCAUAUUGACUAAAAUGGGAAUGAUGCAGAGAUUGGCAUGGCCCUUGCACAAGGAUGAUAUACAAAUUCAUUAAACAUUCCAUACGUUU